AUGGCAUUUGAGGGACAUGAUACCAAGGUUUAUUGUUCUGUCAUCAUUGGAGGAAAUCAUGAUAGCAUCCAUCACCAUCUACAAAGCUUGUCUGUUAUCUACAUAUCUCCUGAACUGCUAGGUGUCCUGUCCUCCAUUGCUGUCUUCAUGGUCGUGAUCACUCUGCAUUUUCUUUACCUCAGCAGCAAGCUUUCAGUGGAGAGCCCAAGCAGUGAGCUGCCACGUUUUGAAGGUUUUAACAAAGGUUUGCAAGAAAAAGGAUCAUCUGAGAGCGAGGACGAAACACCAAAAAGACACAUGGACUCAUCCUCUCAUGAGCAAAGAAGUGGGUGGAGAGACAGGGAUGCUGAGAAUGAGGAUUGCAGCAGUGAAGCCUAUGCUGAGCAAGGUAAAUAUUGUACACUGACUGAUGAAAUACUCUUAAUUAUGCUGUAAUUAUCAUGUAAUCUUAUUUCAUUGUUUCGCUAUCCAGUUAAAGGAAAAAAGAUUCAAGGUCCCUGAAUGAACAUCAGCCUCCACCAUACCAGGACAAAGAUGAUCUCAAGGGUGGCUCAAGGGGCCGCACUGACUCAGCAGAGGGCAGUGGAAUUGAGAUCAGUGAGGGUAGUGAAGACCCUGAGGACACAGAGAAUUACCUGAAUAAGGGCUAUGAGGAAGAUGCACCUAUUGACAGCACAGCUGUUUUGGGCCCGGAGGUGAUCGAUUCGGCCCAUCGUUUCUGAUGUAUUCUUCUAUGAGAAUCAUGGCCCCACCUUCAGAUUCACUGAUAAAACUGUCAAAAUCUACAGUGAUCUAUGUCUCCAAGAGACCUGUUCACUGCAGUUUAUGUUGAGAGAAAUAUUUGUAAAGGUUUUUU
rnacentral:lncRNA from 1 species